UUCACCCUAAUACUCAGAGCCUUAAUUUUCCUAAGCAACGAGGCUAGCUCCUGCCCCCGAUCUAACUCUAACUCGUACUUCACGCUCAAUGUGUCCGCUUGCACCGCUAAAACUUCCAAGUAAUCGGCUACCUCCCGAAUCUGGGUUAUGGCUUCCGCCAUAAUGUAAUCCCUGUUUCUGACUUAGUCUUGCGCAUGGUGAAGUUGUUCCUUCCAACGUUCCUCACUUGCUUCAAAAAAUUGAAUCCGCAUCUCACAGCUUUGUAGUGACGCUUCUAAUUCUUCUACUUUUCCUUUCAUUUCUUCUACCUUGCUCAAGCUUGCCCUCAACUCUAUUACGGUAUUACGGCUUAAUUCACCUUGUUCAUUUCUGCUUUCUGACAGACUCUUCUCUAAAUCCCUAUUUCGUGCCUGAGCCUUUCGAAAUUUCCUUUCUCAUCGGUCGACUUUGGUCUGUUCCUCUCAGAUUUCAUGGCACCAUUGCUCUGAAGUUUUACCUAAUCUAGUAGUCCUCAUAGACAGGCAUAACUUCUUAUAAUCCGUCUUCAAACUGUCUAGAUCCUCUUUGGCCUUACAUUUCCUUCUUCUCCACUUUUCAGCCUCUAACCUCUGAAUGUCUACGUCUAAUCUCAGAUGCUUCUUUUCUUCCUCCAACUGUUCAAUCUUCUUCCCAAGCUCAAAACUCUUCUUCUCAAAAUCCUGUUUUAUAAUUUCCAACUCUGACGGGGCAACUUGUAAUUGUUCCUCCACAAGUCGAGAAUCUUCUACACUUGGUCUAGGAAUGUUUUCAUUGACCCUUUUUCUAAACCAUCCGUUGUAUUCAGGUGUCACCAUGGAAUUGACAGCCAACCUCUUCAUCCAUCGAGUUUGCUUCCAAGCAUCAGACAGUUCUCGAACCUUCUUCUUAUAGUGGUCACCUUUAAAGGAGAAUUCACACUGAGCAAGCCCGUAAGUCAUGGGUACAAACUGCCUCAAUUUAUAUUGCCUUAAUGCAAACAAUGGAGUAUACCCAGUAGCUUUCCAAAUUCCUAACAACGGUACCCAAUCAAAGUCCCCACAUCAAUACAGGAUUUCAUCAGGAACCAUCCAAUAAGCUCUCCACUCUAUGUCCCCCUCCUUGAGGUUUUGGAGGAUUUCCAUCCACUUCUCCUCUGAGAUACCUUCUCUUCUUUGUAUGACUGCCUCCUCCUAUAACGUGGAAUAACCUUCAGAAAAGACCUGAUAAAAAAUCUUGUCUACUUUCCAAAAAUGCCCAUGAAAUUACACCAUCAACAGCUGUGCACACCCAAUAAACCGUCCAUCGCCUGUCUUCCGACACAUCCUCAAGGAUUUGAACGUCUCAGCCAAUAUUGCAAGCACAGGUGUGAUUUCCUUCUCAAGACAGUCGAAUAAAUUAGUGACUGCCUCAUCGACGUGCCUUAAAGCCUUAGGAAAAAUUACCAAUCCAUAAAUGCUUAAGGCGAAGAUAUCGACCCUCUUUCUUUCAUCCGGAUGCGUUAAAACCAAAUCUCUCAAAUUCUCCCAAGAGAUACAUUUAUUAUCUCCCUUUUGUUGAAUCCGAGCAAUGACCCAAGGCUCGCUCAUCCCUGAAAUAUUCAUCAAUUUCUUCGCAAAAAUUUGACCAUUAAAAACCUUGGCAUAAGCUUUUCUAACUUGAAUUUUUGGACACCUGAGUAGGGUAGUAUAUUCCUCCAUGGUAGGCACUAAAUCCACUUCCCCAAAUGUGAAACACUUGUAAGCAGAAUUCCAAAAUUGAACCAUAACUCAGAACAGGUAUUUGUCCACCUUAACAUCCAGCAAAUAGGAUAUAUCACCAUAGCUUUGAUAGAACAAUUGUUUGGUUCUUUCAUCCCAAUGAGCCCAUAUAUCUCUUAACUCUUGCAACUCAUUCUGUGUUACAUUGACGCGAGUGAAUUCCUGCAACUCUGAUGUAUAUCCUUCUGCCAGGCUAUCUCCUUUCUCCGAUUGUAACUUCUCUGACCAUGCGCGGACGGCUGCAUUAUCCUCAACUUUAUUAAGAAAUUCAUUCUUCAUGUCAAACUUUCUAACUUAGUAAUCGAAUACGAAUCAAAACUGUAGUCAACCAAUUUUGCCCGAGUCUUUAUUUUAUUUAUACAUUCAAUAGCUAGUCAAAUAAACUUAAAUAAAGUCCCAAUAGUCCAUUUAUAACCUUAAAUAAACACUAACAAAUAGCCCAAACAUAUACAGAGGCCCAAAGGCCAAUAAGCCCAAUUUGCAAAAAGGCCCAAACUUGAAAGAACCCCAAAAGGGGAAUCUCAGCAGCUGAAAGCACUAGGGGUUUCUAGAACACACCAGUGCUGCAAUCACGGCUUUCACGAGCAAUUUUUUCCGUACGGCCGUUGCUCCAUCCCUGCAUUAGAAUACACGAGAAAAGGAUAGAAACAGAAUACGGUAGAUGACAACAAUAAAAUGUAUUUUUAUUUUAUUUUUAUUCUGAAAUUUUAGCUAUAAAAGCCGAUGAUUGUACCUACAAAAGGGAUUACGCUCAAUACACGCAUGCACAUUAGAUAUUCAAAAAUCUAGCCAAAAAUUUGAAAGGUGAAUUCCGGAUUUAUUCUUUAUUUUCUUUGAUUGAUUCGCAUAUUUAGUACGAGUAUUAAAAGGGGGAAAUCUAGACCGACGCCGAUGAAAAGCCCCAAACAUCUCAGAUAUACAUAGAUGUGGGCGAGGGUCGAGUGAGAUUAAAGUUUUGUUUGAAUAUAUGUGAAAUUUAUUUCGUUUUUAAAAAAAAAAACAGUAUAAGAUUCACGUUUUUUCGUGGGAAAAAAAAAAGAAAAAGGAGCGAAGUUACCUGAUUUUUGGAAAGGUGACCUUCGUUGGCUAUAUCUGGCCCUUAUCCGCGCCACUGGCCAUCAAACUGAUGGAGGUUAAGGGCUGCGUGAUGAAAUGAACCCACACAGAGCAAGAGUUCUAUUUUUGCGUCUGCUUUGAAAAGGAAUGAAUGAAAAUGGGCAUUUAAACAUCCAAAGCAAAACGGCGCCACACAGGGGGGGAAGGGUCCGCACGUUAACCCGCCUGGAGCCUCGAAUUUGUGCCUUUGCGCCUGGAAUGGAAUAUUUGUGUGGCAGGUCCCUCCUCCUUGUACCGCGUUGUAAUCUGCUCCUAUUUGCAUUUGAUUUGCUUUAUUUUCUUUUAGAUUAUCCCUAAAAUUUGAAGUACUUUUAUGUUUUAGUCCAUAUCUCAACGCAAUGUUUCAGGAUUAGGGAUUAUUUCAAUUUUGAUCCCUGUGAAUUCAUGUGUGUUAUAUAUAUGUCUCCAUUAGUAGUUUUACUUAUUUUGUAAAUUUUCUUUUUAUUUUACUUUGAUUUCGAUUAAGUAUUUUAUUAUAUUUAUGUUAUAAAUUUGGGUUUAUUCACUCAUAUAUUUUUAGUCCUUUUAUUAAUGUAUGUGUAUUCAUCCUUAUUUUAUUUACAUUUUUAUUUGUUAUUGUUUAUAUUAUUUGUAAUGUUAAUAUUAAUGGUAUUAUUUGUAUUGUUGGUCACUUAUUUGUUGUAAUUUGAAUAAUUGAAUUUCCCCAUGUUGUAUACUAUUUUAUGUAGUGUUUUAUGCGUUAUUAUGCAUGUAUAUACCUCAUAAUAAUUGCUUUUUAUUCCAUGAACAUUAUUAACAUUAAAAUUAACUAUUUUUUUUCACAUAUUAAUGUUAUUUAUAUUUGUUUUUUUUUUAAAUGAAAUCGCAUGUUAUAUACAUUAACUAAAUUUUAACUAUACAUAUACAAAAAUUAUUGAUUUAUAUAUAUAAUUUAAAUACAUUUUUAAACAUUAGUAUUUUUAUUUCUUUUAGAUUUGUUCACAUAUCUUUCUUAUUUAAAAAGAAAAUCCCACAUAUUUUGUGUAUUAUUUAAGUUAUUAUUAAACAUAUAUUUAGAAUUUAUAUUUAAUUUGUAUUCAUUAUUAAAGCCAAGAUAUUCUUAUACAUAUAUAUUUUUUUAAAUAAACUCAUAUAAUUGUGUUUUUAAAAUUAUUACGUAUAUAAGUUAUGUUUAAUUCUAUAAUUCAUAUUUUAAUUAAAUGAUAUUUUGAGAUAUAAUUAUUUUUAACAUUUUUUCACAUGUAUAUGGCAUAUAUUAAAUUAUUUUUACUAUGGUACAUGUUAUUAUUUUCAUAUAACUUUAUGUAAAUAUUUUUUUAUGUAUAUAUAUCCUCUUUAAAAAUUAUUUAUGUGUAUAAUGUUUUUUAAGAACCCCUUUAAAUCGUAUAAUUUAUUGUAUUUCAUAUUAUCCUUAUGUUUUUUCAUAUAUAUAUUUUGUUACUUAUAUAACUUAUAUAUUUACUUCAUUUUUUUAUACAUUAUUAAUUCCAUUCUUUUUAUCAAUAAUUAUACCCAAUGUUUAUUUGUAUAUAAAAGUUUCAUAAAUCUAUUUUGUACAUUAUUUUAUAUUAUGAAUUGUUAUUCCUUCAUAUUUAAUACAUUUUUUAAGUUAUCUUGUGAAUUAUCAAUUUUUGAAUAAAUUUGUGUUUUAAAUAUUUUGUAUAUAAUUUGAUUUGAAUUUUGAGAUUUAUAAUAACUAUUUCAAUAAACAUAUAUCCCAAGUUUUACGCAAAUGUGUCAACUUAUAUAUAUUAUAUGAUCAUUAAUUCUUCAUUUUGUUUCAUACAUAUUUUUAUACAUCAUUUUAUUUUGUGUUAUGAUCAUGUAUAUUAUUUUUAUAUUAAUUGUUCAUUAUCCAUGCUUAAAGAACUUUUUUACAUUAUACCUGGAAUAAUUGUUAGAUGUAUUGAGCAAGGUUUAUUGUAUUUUGGGUGUAUUAUUUCAUAUUUAUUAUUUUUUACAAUGCAUUAAAUACUUCAUCAAUUUUAAAAUGAAUAAACAUGUUUUUAAGCAAAUUUCUAAAUUUCAGUUAUUUUAAAUUUCUGAAAUAAGGCAAUAUCUAAUAUUUGGGGAAUUAAGAAAAAUCGUGCUCAAUCGUACUGGGUAUGACUUUUCCGGUGAACCAAAUAUUUAGAUAACCUUUUAUACUUUUAAUGUAUGAGUUUUUUUUCAAAAUUCGAACAUCGAUCGUAUCUUAAAGGUAUAAGGGAUCGUAUCCAAUCGUACUGGGUAUGAAACCGCAUAUCUUUAGAACGAGAGAUUUUUAACAGCUAAUUUGAGCUAUUCAAACAUUUUUUUUAUAUACUUCAUAAAAUAUUUUUUUAAAAACUUUUGAUAGAAGGACAGCAUCAAAUCAAUUUGGUACCAGUUUUUGGGCGUAAUGAGGGUGCUAACCCUUCCUCAUGCGUAACCGACUCCCGAACCCGUUUUUCUUUAUUUUGCCUAAAUCAAAUUUAUUUUUUAUUGAAUAAAAUGUUUUAGUAGGAGAUCCAAUCACACCUAAAGAGAUUGGUGGCGACUCUACACUCGGUUUUUAAUGUCGAUCCCUAUUGUUUUCCAAAUAAAAAAAAGGGUUUCGACAAACACCUCUUUUAGUAUGCAAUGCUAUGCAAAACAUAAUCAAAACAAAACACAAGUUUGUAUCAAAUAUAAGUGAUAAAAUACAAGCACAACAAAGAUAAUUAUAACACACAUAUGGGAAAAUACUAAGGCUCGAUGCGGUUUUACCCAAGGAUAGCUCUUAAGGUUCACUAUAUGUGGUUCGGUUCUAGAGAUAAAGUACCUGAACCAGCAGAUUCCUCAAUCCUCACCCAUUAUAGGCUCAUAUGGAUCAAGUUCGAUCCAGGGGAAUACAUUUUCCUAUGACCACGCGGAGAUGAAAAUCUCAAGAAAUCAUAGGUACAGAUGUAUCCCGGAAGCAAUCCACUAGCCCAUGCGGAGGUGAAAACCUCACGAAAGCAUAGUUUCUUACUCCCGAUUAGAAAGUGUGACCACAGCGAUCAUGCAAUGCAAUGUAAUAUUAUUCUACAAGACCCGAACCAUGAAAAUCAUACAAACAAAUGCAAUCAUGAUUUUCAAAACAAAUUUUCAAUUUCUUUGACAAAAUGACAACGAAUAAUCAAUUUUAUGGCUUGACUCUCUUGUAUCGAUCCCCAGUGGAGUCGCCAAGCUGUCGAAACUAUUUUUUUUAUUUAAAAAAACGGGGAUUGACUUUUUGAAAACAAACUGUGGAGUCGCCACCAAUAUUUUAUUUAGGUGUGAUCGGGUCACCUAAUAAAACACUUUGUUUUGUUAAAAUUGAUUUUGGCCUCCGUAAAUUUGAGAAAAAGGGUUCGGGAGUCGGUUACGUAUGAGGAAGGAUUAGCACCCUCACUACGCCCAAAAUUGGUACCAAAUUGAUUAAGUAUUGUCCUUAUGUCUAAGAUUUAAAACUAUUUUUGAAAUAUGGUUCCUUUUAAAACAUAUGAAUGGCUUAAGUUGGUCGUCAAAAUUCUCUUGUUUCGAAUGUAUACAGCAUCAUAUCCAGCACGAUAGGACACAAUCCUCCAUACUCUUAAAAACACGAUAAAUUUUUGACUUCCAAAAAUUUAUAUGUUGAAAAUUACAAAAAAGGAUGCCCAAUUAUUUAGUCCAACGAAAAACCGAAACCCAACACGGUAAGGCACGAUUCCUCGAAUUUCCAAACAUUGACCAUUGCCUUGUUUUAGAAUCUUAAAAAAACGAGUGAAAUUCUAAAGGAGUAUUCGAUUAUUUUGAACAAAUAGGAAAUUGCAACCCAGCAUGAUAGGGCACGAUUCCCCGAAUUGCCAAAUAUCGAACAUUUCUUUCAUUUUAAAGAAUUUUUUAAAUGAAUAAUUAUAAAACUAGCUUAAAACGCAUUAAUUCGGCUUGAAAUAGGAAUGGAAUAAUUAGUUUUAAAAAGUUAGACAUUAUAAGGCGACAUUUGUAAACCAAGAGGAAAAAAAUUGAAAACAUAGGGUAACAUGUAUGCAUAAAAUACGACAAUGGAUGAAUGAAGAUAAUAUGUCUUAUUUAAUCAACUAACAAAACAAUUAAAUAUGAUUAAUCUAAAAAUAUAACCCAAAUUUCAAGCAUGUACGGAGAAUAAUUAAUAUAACAAUACAAAACAAUGAAUAAAUAAUAUGCAACGACGAUGUAUGGCACCAUAUAAAUCAAUCAACAAAACAUGUACAAAACAAAAUGGAAUUUAGAAGUCAAUGUGGUAUAAGAAAUUUUCCAAAAUAAUGAUGAAUUAAUUAACGCAUAAUAUAAAAGUUGACAAAUUUGCAUAAAAACUAGGGAUAUAUAAUUAUUGAAAUAGAUAUUAUAGAAUAAAAGUUUGAAUCAAAUUAUAUGCAAAAUAUUUUAAACACAAGUUCAUUCAAAAAUUGACAAUGUACAUGAUAACUUAAAUAAUAUAUAAGAUAUGAAAGAAUAAUAAAAAUACACGAUAAGAUAUAAUACACAUAAUAGAUUUACAAAACAUGCAUAUAUAAAUAACUUUAAAAAUAAUUAUUUGCAAAAACAUGGAAAUACAUACAAGAUUAAAUUAAUUUGGUCAUACGUGUUCGAAUACAUAUAAAAACAUUUAAAUCAGAUACUACAUAAUAUACUAAAAUAAUAUUAUAUAAAGAAGAAUUUCCAAAUAAUAAUUUUAUAAACACAAAAAUGGAAUUCCCGAGUAACUUUACAUAUAUAAUUAAAUGAAUUUUAAAACAAUAGAUAUUUUAAAUAGAAAACCCGAUUACAAUAACAUAUGUGUUAAUAUAUAUAAAAAUAUUUAAAUAAAGAAAUUACAUAGAAAGCGUUAAAAUAGUUUAAAUGAAAAAAUUUAAAACGAUGAUUUUAUAAAACAAAAUAAAACUAUUAAGAUGGCACAACACAUAUGCAAAGACGUGGUGAACUUCGAAAUAAUAAGCAUUACUAAUCAAUGAGCAUAAUAAAUGUACAAAUUUGUAUAAAAUAUUUAAAGAAGUAUUGUGUAAAAUGUAGAAAUAACAUGAUAAAAAAAAACUUCAAAAUAAUUGUACAAAUAAAAAUGGACAAAAUCAUUAAAAUGGAUUGACACAUAUGAAAAUAUUAAAUGUGUUUUAAAUUAGUAAGUUAAAAAAAAACUAAAUUAAAAUGGAGUUAAAAUAAGAGGGACAAUUUAAAAAUAAAAUAAACUACUAGGAUUAAAAAAAGGACCCUUGCACAAUACGCGUACAUUCGCAGAGGCUAAUGAUGAAAAUUUCCCCGACCCAAGAUGUUGUGUUCAAUCGAGGGUUACAUUGCAACAGCACACAAACUUUGGGAGAAAUUAAAAAAAAACUAAAGUAUUAAUUGGAAUUAAUUGCAUUGCAAUGGAAAAGUGGAGGACCUAACUUGAAAUUAUCCCUCUCCACUGAAACAAGCGGUUCCCAGGGGUUAAGAAAACAAAAUCGGGUUGGGCAAGCCAUUUCAAGGCUACAUACACAUGCCCCAAACGGCAUCACUUCAUGCUGCCAAUUUAAGCUUCUUAAAAGCCAAAUGUUUUGGCAGAACAAAUUGAAAAAGAAAAAAAACCUAAAGGUUUGCUCCUAUUUGGCCGCCACUCAACCUUCCUUCCAACACCACGAUGCCUUUAGAUCCCCUUUCGGCUUCGAUUUCAACGAAGCGAACAGAGAUCCAUGGCUGAUUCGCAAGGUAAGGCUUGCUUUUUCCCCUCCUUUGUUUUAAAAUGAAAAUGAUGAAAACAAUUUAUGGAAAAUAGAUAAAAAUGACAGAAAGAUUAAAAAGACUAAGAAAGAUCACCUCUUCAGAAAUUGUUUUUGAAUUUUUCUAUUCAUUUUUCGUAUAAUGUAUGUGUGUAUGCGUUUUUGUGUGCGUAAAAAAAAUACAAUGACAGUGUUCUUGGCUUUAUAACCGAAACCGAGUAAAAAACGAAAAAAGAAAAUACAAAUCGAUUGGUUCUGCCUCUUUGCUGUGCUGUUGUUUGUCUAUUUCUUCGCAGGUACGGAGGCCCGUUGGCGCGGUGGUACGUGGCGUUUGACGUGAGGCGUACGGGGGCUGUGUGCUGGGGGCUGUUGAAGCGCUGGAGGUUGUACGGCGCUGGAGGCUAAGGGCUGCGGCGCUAAGGAAACCCUAGGUUCCUGUUUGGCUAAACCUAGGUCUAGGUUUUGGGCCAUUGGGCCUUUUACAUUGGGUUAUUUGAUUGGGCUAGGUUGUUUUGUAAAUGGGCUUGUAACUGGGCUAUUGGGUCUGAUAUGUAAUGGACUGAUAAUUGGACUUUUUAUUAUUUGGUUUUAUUUAUUUAUUUAUUAUUUUGGCUUUGAUGUGGACCCAGGGAAAUUGGCCCGUUUACAAAACAUAUCAAAGUUUAUAUAAACAAAUUACUAACAUGUAAAAGUUUUAUAUAAAUUUAUAAUAUUUUUGAACUAGAAAUGAUAAUUGAUAAGUGUGUAAUUUUCUAAUUAUUCGUG
rnacentral:lncRNA from 1 species